rfam:Candidatus Endomicrobium sp. Rsa215, complete genome.
GCGGCCGUGGCGGAAUUGGCAGACGCGUAUGGCUUAGGACCAUAUACCGCAAGGUGUGGGGGUUCAAGUCCCUCCGGCCGCA